rnacentral:rRNA from 1 species
AACGUAGGCUCCGAGCGUUAUCCGGAUUUACUGGGCGUAAAGCGUGUUCAGGCGGCUCAGCAAGUCGGGCAUGAAAUCUCUCGGCUCAACCGGGAGGGGCUGUCCGAAACUGCUGGGCUUGAGGGCAGUAGAGGGUGGUGGAAUUCCGGGUGUAGUGGUGAAAUUCGUAGAUAUCGGGAGGAACACCAGUGGCGAAGGCGGCGAUCUGGGUCGAUACUGACGCUGAGGUGCGAAAGCGUGGGGAGCAAACAGG